rnacentral:rRNA from 1 species
CAGCAGCCGCGGGAAUGCGAAGGGGGCUAGCGUUGUUCGGAAUUACUGGGCGUAAAGCGUGCGCAGGCGGUUGUGUAAGACAGGUGUGAAAUCCCCGGGCUUAACCUGGGAACUGCGCUUGUGACUGCACAGCUAGAGUAUGGCAGAGGGGGGUGGAAUUCCACGUGUAGCAGUGAAAUGCGUAGAGAUGUGGAGGAACACCGAUGGCGAAGGCAGCCCCCUGGGCCAACACUGACGCUCAUGCACGAAAGCGUGGGGAGCAAACAGGAUUAGAUACCCGUGUAGUCCCUGUCUCUUAUAC